rnacentral:rRNA from 1 species
AACGUAGGAGACAAACGUUAUCCGGAGUUACUGGGCGUAAAGGGCGUGCAGGCGGUCGACUAAGUCUGGCGUGAAAGCUCGCGGCUAAACCGCGAGAGGUCGUUGGAUACUGGUUGACUAGAGGACGGUAGAGGCGUGUGGAAUUCCGGGUGUAGUGGUGAAAUGCGUAGAGAUCCGGAGGAACACCAGUGGCGAAGGCGACACGCUGGGCCGUACCUGACGCUAAGGAGCGAAAGUGUGGGGAGCGAACAGG